AACGAAAUCCCUCUACUAACGUUUAUUCUUAUUGAAGACAGCGUCUUGCUUUUACGCGACUACUAUUCUACUCACUCGCUUUGAUGUUUAGAAAAAAUCUACAACAUCCAGCUAAAUAAACGUGAGAUCCUUUAAUACAUCUCAUAAAUAUUUUAUUUCAUCAUCAUCAUCGACUAUGUACUUAUAUAUAUAUAUAUACAUACAGUCAAAGAACACAGAAUGCGGGGGCGUUAGAUUAGUAAUCACAGUGAGAAGCGGUGCCGGUAGACGCUCACGAUUACUACGACUCGACUUCGUCCGUGGUUGAGUCUCGGUCUCGACGAGUAACUCGCAUUAACUGCUCUGAUAUGAGAUCCCGAGACUAACCACCAACUACGAACAAUCUAGCCAUCAACCUUAAACGGAAUAUAUUUACGCUUGGUAUGUGGCUACUGGCUAUGUAACGCGUGCAACUGAAUUUCUACCGUAUCUCAACGAAUUACGUCAGCAUCCGUUGCUCUCCGAUCCAUCUCUUAACAUUUUUGUUUCUACGUUUGAAAACAAAAAAAAUAAACUUAGGACAUUAACACGAAUUAGCAAGGAUUCCAGUGUCUAAUCUCUCUCGUUUGAAGUAGAUUCAGAAAACGUGUAAUUUUUAUUAUACCCCAUAAAUUGUACUUUUAAAAU
rnacentral:lncRNA from 1 species